AUUGUUCUAGUUCAGGCCAAAGGGUUUGUGAUUGUCACUAUGGAAUUCUUGUGGGUUGCUGAUUAAACUUGCAGGAAAUAUGCACAUGGAUCCUUUGGUUCAUGGUUUAUGCCCAUGACCCGAUUCAUAUCUAUGACCUGGGUAUAUAUGUUGGAAGAAGCGUACUGAGUUCAAAUAUUUUACACACACACAUACACAUUUAGUUGUCUCUCUCGUUCUCACUUUCUUUAAGUUAGGAUUUCAUAAUAGUUUUGUAUAUUGGUGUAAAUUGUUUCGGUUCUUGAUCGUUAUUGUAAACUAUUGUAUUUUAGGUUUAGUGUUUAAUUCAGAGAGUAGAUUAAGACUUUGUAGUGAGGUUUGAAUUUGUAAGUUCUUGAAAACCUUUUGGUUCUUUCUCCUCUAAUGAUAUAAGAACCAUUGAUGUUGUACAUGUUGAGUUUCUAUACCUUUUAACAUGGUAUCAGAGCUCUAAGGCUCCAUUUUUUCGAUUCCGACCACGUGACUGCGUUCUGGUGUUUGUCGAAUCGAAAGGUUGGGCAAAAUACCUAUCUACAAGAAGGUCUGUUUCUGGAUAUAUGGUUUAUUUUAAUAACUCCUCGAUUUCCUGGAAAAACAAGAAACAAAUUUAUUGUUUCUAGGUCAUCUACUGAGUUUGAAUAUGGAGCCCUUGGAUCUGCUACUUGUGAAAUAAUUUGGAUAUUAAAUUUUUUGUUUGAUUUGGGGGUAAAAGGACUCUUAUCUCUAUAUUUUGUGAUAAUGAUUCAACCAUAAAAUUAGCUUUGAAUCCAAUUUUUCAUGAAGGUACUAAACAUUUUGAGGCUCACCUUCAUUUUGUUAGAGAGAAAAUUUCAAGUGGUGUUCUAAAGAUGGUUAAGAUAGUUCCGAUCAAAAUGUUGAUAUUUUGCUGAAGUUUUAAACAACAUGAUUUUUUAUCAAAUAAAAUGGGUUUACUUGAUGUGUUUAAAAAGGAAAAAUAAACAAUUCGAUUGAGGGGGGAUGUUGAAAAUACUUGGUAUUUUCUAAUAUUCAAUCUCAAUAUUUAUUUAUUAUUUAUUUUUGUUUUUGGAUAAUUUGUGUUAGUAUAUGGAGUCCUGGUUUGUAUUCAAAUUGUUGUAAUUCUGGGCAAAGGGUUUGUGAUUGUCACUAUGGAAUUCUUGUGGGUUGCGGAUUAAACUUUCAUGAAAUAUGCACGCGGAUCCUUUGGUUCAUGGUUUAUGCCCAUGACCCAAGCAUAUAUGAUGGAAGAAGCGCACUAUAAAGCAGUUCAAAUAUUUUACACACAUAUACACAUUUAGUCGUCUCUCUCGUUCUCAACUUCUCUCGGUUAGGGUUUCAUAAUAGUUUUGUACAUUGUUGUAAACCAUUUCAGUUCUUGAUCGUUAUUGUAAACCAUUGUAGUUUAGUUUGAGUGUUCUAUUCAUAGGGUAGAUUAGGACUUUGUAGUGAGGUUUGAAUUUGUAAGUUCCUGAAAACCUUUUAGUUCUUUAUCCUCUAAUGAUAUAAGAAUCAUUAUUGUUGUGCA